CCUACGGGGGGCAGCAGUGAGGAAUAUUGGUCAAUGGGCGAGAGCCUGAACCAGCCAAGUCGCGUGAAGGAUGAAGGAUCUAUGGUUUGUAAACUUCUUUUAUAUGGGAAUAAAGUGAGGAACGUGUUCCUUUUUGUAUGUACCAUAUGAAUAAGCAUCGGCUAACUCCGUGCCAGCAGCCGCGGUAAUACGGAGGAUGCGAGCGUUAUCCGGAUUUAUUGGGUUUAAAGGGUGCGUAGGUGGUUAAUUAAGUCAGCGGUGAAAGUUUGUGGCUCAACCGUAAAAUUGCAGUUGAAACUGGUUGUCUUGAGUAUAUUUGAGGUAGGCGGAAUGCGUGGUGUAGCGGUGAAAUGCAUAGAUAUCACGCAGAACUCCGAUUGCGAAGGCAGCUUACUAAACUAUAACUGACACUGAAGCACGAAAGCGUGGGGAUCAAACAGGAUUAGAUACCCCUGUAGUC
rnacentral:rRNA from 1 species